rnacentral:rRNA from 1 species
AGCCGCGGUAAUACGGAGGAUGCGAGCGUUAUCCGGAUUUAUUGGGUUUAAAGGGUGCGUAGGUGGUGAUUUAAGUCAGCGGUGAAAGUUUGUGGCUCAACCAUAAAAUUGCCGUUGAAACUGGGUUACUUGAGUGUGUUUGAGGUAGGCGGAAUGCGUGGUGUAGCGGUGAAAUGCAUAGAUAUCACGCAGAACUCCGAUUGCGAAGGCAGCUUACUAAACCAUAACUGACACUGAAGCACGAAAGCGUGGGGAUCAAACAGGAUUAGAUACCCUGGUAGUCCACGCAGUAAACGAUGAUUACUAGGAGUUUGCGAUACAAUGUAAGCUCUACAGCGAAAGCGUUAAGUAAUCCACCUGGGGAGUACGCCGGCAACGGUGAAACUCAAAGGAAUUGACGGGGGCCCGCACAAGCGGAGGAACAUGUGGUUUAAUUCGAUGAUACGCGAGGAACCUUACCCGGGCUUGAAUUGCAGAGGAAGGAUUUGGAGACAAUGACGCCCUUCGGGGCCUCUGUGAAGGUGCUGCAUGGUUGUCGUCAGCUCGUGCCGUGAGGUGUCGGCUUAAGUGCCAUAACGAGCGCAACCCUUAUCACUAGUUACUAACAGGUGAAGCUGAGGACUCUGGUGAGACUGCCAGCGUAAGCUGUGAGGAAGGUGGGGAUGACGUCAAAUCAGCACGGCCCUUACAUCCGGGGCGACACACGUGUUACAAUGGCAUGGACAAAGGGCAGCUACCUGGCGACAGGAUGCUAAUCUCCAAACCAUGUCUCAGUUCGGAUCGGAGUCUGCAACUCGACUCCGUGAAGCUGGAUUCGCUAGUAAUCGCGCAUCAGCCAUGGCGCGGUGAAUACGUUCCCGGGCCUUGUACACACCGCCCGUCAAGCCAUGGGAGCCGGGGGUACCUGAAGUCCGUAACCGCAAGGAUCGGCCUAGGGUAAAACUGGUGACUGGGGCUAAGUCGUAACAAGGUAGCCGUACCGGAAGGUGCGGCUG